GGAUCAACCCAGACGCCUUGCACUCAGACGCCGAGUCUACGUAGGCCCUGGGACUGCGCAGGCGCAGGGGUCUGCGCAGGCGCGUGGCGUCGGACUUCCCUAGAGCGGGCUUGGACUCCAGCUGAACCCGGAAAGUUCCCGCGGGCGGACGCGGACAGAUUCAGUGUCACGGAUCCAGCAGCAACCUGGCUGCAGCUGAGCAUCUGAAACCGCCAAGUACCUGCUGACAUCCCAGGAAGGAAGUAGCUGUGUGACCUUCUCAUCAUCACAAAACAGAGGCUCUACAGCCAUUGGAUCUUCUUCUAAGUUAUCAGGGGAGGCAGGAGGCGACCCCACCCUCAGGAGAUUGACAGCCUACCUGCGGAGAUGAGGAUCCCAGAAUAGCUCUCACGGCUGACGGAGGCCCCCCUAUUGGCCCGGCAGGACAGGCCUCCCUGACCCCCGCCCAGCCUCAGGCCCAGCUCACAGCAAAGCCUCACCAGCCACCCGCAGGCGCGAAUUCAGAGCAGACAUUUGGCGGUGGGCCACCAUGUGAAGACAACUGAUUAGCCUCCACGCACCCCCAUCACCCCCCGCCCAUGGUGAUGUGAGUGCCAACGCUCCCGGGUGGCUGGAUGGCUGUCCCCGGUGGUGCCACACGGCCUCCAGGGGCAGCCUGUCCCCAGGCCGUGGCUCCCGGAUUUGUGGGCCAGCAUGCCUGUGCCUGACCAGAUGAGCGGCAGGGCCCCAGGGUAAACAGUCUGGCAGGUAGGAGUUACGCUCUGCCUUUUCCCCGAGCCCCAAAUCUCCAAACAGCCCCCAACCCGUUUCCUACUCCAGAUGUGUUGAAAUAAAUCUCUGGUCCCAUUUCUGCCUUCAUGCCAAGGCUUUGGGUAAGAAAGAACCCACAGAAUGGGAGAAAAUAUUUGCACAUCAUGUAUCUGUUAAAUCGAUGGCAUCCAGAAUAUACAAAGAAUUCUUGCAAUU